rnacentral:rRNA from 1 species
UACGUAGGUGGCAAGCGUUUGUCCGGAUUUACUGGGCGUAAAGAGCGCGCAGGCGGUCGUUCAAGUCGCGUGUGAAAGCCCCCGGCUCAACUGGGGAGGGUCACGGCGAUACUGAUCGACUCGAAGGCAGGAGAGGGUAGUGGAAUUCCCGGUGUAGUGGUGAAAUGCGUAGAUAUCGGGAGGAACACCAGUGGCGAAGGCGACUACCUGGCCUGUUCUUGACGCUGAGGCGCGAAAGCUAGGGGAGCAAACGGGG